rnacentral:lncRNA from 1 species
CCCCUGAAGUAGUUUUCCUGUGUUUUGUCACCUCAUCUCUUGAUGUGUAUCAGUUCAGGAGUGUUAAUAGGAGUGUUAAUAUGUUAAUAUGUUUUAUGGAAAAAAUAGUUACAAUUUAAAUAGCCUACCUGACAACAUGUAGGCCUACUGAUUAGUAACUUUGAAAACUGCUGUCUGUCAGCAACUCAGCUCAAGUAGCAGUUCUACUAACUAGUAAUAUCUCAUUCCAGGUAUUCAUUCUCUUACUCUGUCCAUUAGAAUAAAUUAUUGUUCAGAAAUACUUUAUUUUUCAGUUCUCUCCAUAUAGUGUUUUCUGCUCUGUCGUCUCAAAAUGGAUCCUGAACAAAAUAACAACUUUACUUUGUGUUUCAGCUCAGCCGUCUCCCCACCCUGAUAAUAAAGUGUUUUAUUGGUAUCUUCCACUAGAUGGCAGUAAACACCUGCUGUAACUAGACUUUACAACUAUGUGUUCGGUUUUAUACAGGCAGUGUCCCAGAGGAGGAGUGCUGAUCUAGGAUCAGGUCCCCCCUCUCCAUGUAAUCUGAUUCAUUAUAAUCUAGGAUCAGGUCCCCCCUCUCCAUGUAAUCUGAUUCAUUAUGAUCUAGGAUCAGGUCCCUCCUCUCCAUGUAAUCUGAUUCAUUAUAAUCUAGGAUCAGGUCCCCCCUCUCCAUGUAAUCUGAUUCAUUAUGAUCUAGGAUCAGGUCCCUCCUCUCCCUGUAAUCUGAUUCAUUAUAAUCUGGGAUCAGGUCCCCCUCUCCAUGUAAUCUGAUUCAUUAUGAUCUAGGAUCAGGUCCCCUCCUCUCCAUGUAAUCUGAUUCAUUAUGAUCUGGGAUCAGGUCCCUCCUCUCCAUGUAAUCUGAUUCAUUAUGAUCUAGGAUCAGGUCCCUCCUCUCCAUGUAAUCUGAUUCAUUAUGAUCUAGGAUCAGGUCCCUCCUCUCCAUGUAAUCUUAUUCAUUAUGAUCUAGGAUCAGGUCCCCUCCUCUCCAUGUAAUCUGAUUCAUUAUGAUCUAGGAUCAGGUCCCUCCUCUCCAUGUAAUCUGAUUCAUUAUAAUCUAGGAUCAGGUCCCUCCUCUCCAUGUAAUCUGAUUCAUUAUGAUCUAGGAUCAGGUCCCUCCUCUCCAUGUAAUCUUAUUCAUUAUGAUCUAGGAUCAGGUCCCCUCCUCUCCAUGUAAUCUGAUUCAUUAUGAUCUAGGAUCAGGUCCCUCCUCUCUAUGUAAUCUGAUUCAUUAUGAUCUAGGAUCAGGUCCCUCCUCUCCAUGUAAUCUGAUUCAUUAUGAUCUAAAAGGCUAAACUGACCCUAGAUCAGCUCUCCUGCUCUUUAUGAAUACUGUCACAGGUGACUCCUCAAGAUCAGGCUCGUGAUGUAUAAGUUCUAUUCUUUAAGAAUCAAUUACUAUCAUUCAUUGAACUGCUUUGCCAUGAACAGAUCUGUGAGGUCUUAACUUAAAGGUACUUUAUAGAUCUUAUGGUCAUUUUAAUGGGGUUGAACAUCCAUCCAAUCAGAUUGUGUAAAGGAUUUUAUGAGUUCAGAAAAAUAGCAACUUGGAAGCAUCUCUCUGACCUCACCCUGCUGAAACACACUCAAGUAAAGACCACAUAUCUACAGUUAAAUGCUUGUCUGUUUCUACCCACUUUUACAGCCAAUGUAUGGACUGGUAUCCAUAUGAAUCAGUAGAAUAUACAGACCAGUUAACCACCUCUCAGUAGAUGGACCCACACAGAACUUUAUAUAUACAGACUAGUUAACCACCUCCCAGUAGAUGGAACACAGAACUUUAUAUAUACAGACCAGUUAACCACCUCCCAGUAGAUGGACCCACAC